CCGAGUAACACACACUCAAGCCAUGGUACCUAAGUCGCAAGAUAGGGUGCCCUGGCCGCGGCUCAUGAGGUCGCCAGGGUGCAGGAAGAAAUGACUGCAUCUCCCGUAUUUGGAAAGGUGUAUUCAGUGUCCCAGC
rfam:Cedecea davisae DSM 4568 genomic scaffold Scaffold0, whole genome shotgun sequence.